rnacentral:rRNA from 1 species
GGGUUGUGAGGUUAAGCGACUAAGCGUACACGGUGGAUGCCCUGGCAGUCAGAGGCGAUGAAGGGCGUGCUAAUCUGCGAUAAGCGCCGGUAAGGUGAUAUGAACCGUUAUAACCGGCGAUACCCGAAUGGGGAAACCCAGUGUGAUUCGUCACACUAUCAUUAACUGAAUCCAUAGGUUAAUGAGGCGAACCGGGGGAACUGAAACAUCUAAGUACCCCGAGGAAAAGAAAUCAACCGAGAUUCCCCCAGUAGCGGCGAGCGAACGGGGAGGAGCCCAGAGCCUGAAUCAGCAUGUGUGUUAGUGGAAGCGUCUGGAAAGGCGCGCGAUACAGGGUGACAGCCCCGUACACAAAAGCGCAUGUGCUGUGAGCUCGAUGAGUAGGGCGGGACACGUGGUAUCCUGUCUGAAUAUGGGGGGACCAUCCUCCAAGGCUAAAUACUCCUGACUGACCGAUAGUGAACCAGUACCGUGAGGGAAAGGCGAAAAGAACCCCGGCGAGGGGAGUGAAAAAGAACCUGAAACCGUGUACGUACAAGCAGUGGGAGCACAGGUUUACCUGUGUGACUGCGUACCUUUUGUAUAAUGGGUCAGCGACUUAUAUUCUGUAGCAAGGUUAACCGUAUAGGGGAGCCGGAGGGAAACCGAGUCUUAACCGGGCGUUAAGUUGCAGGGUAUAGACCCGAAACCCGGUGAUCUAGCCAUGGGCAGGUUGAAGGUUGGGUAACACUAACUGGAGGACCGAACCGACUAAUGUUGAAAAAUUAGCGGAUGACCUGUGGCUGGGGGUGAAAGGCCAAUCAAACCGGGAGAUAGCUGGUUCUCCCCGAAAGCUAUUUAGGUAGCGCCUCGUGAAUUCAUCUCCGGGGGUAGAGCACUGUUUCGGCUAGGGGGCCAUCCCGGCUUACCAACCCGAUGCAAACUGCGAAUACCGGAGAAUGUUAUCACGGGAGACACACGGCGGGUGCUAACGUCCGUCGUGAAGAGGGAAACAACCCAGACCGCCAGCUAAGGUCCCAAAGUCAUGGUUAAGUGGGAAACGAUGUGGGAAGGCCCAGACAGCCAGGAUGUUGGCUUAGAAGCAGCCAUCAUUUAAAGAAAGCGUAAUAGCUCACUGGUCGAGUCGGCCUGCGCGGAAGAUGUAACGGGGCUAAACCAUGCACCGAAGCUGCGGCAGCGACGUUUAUGCGUUGUUGGGUAGGGGAGCGUUCUGUAAGCCUGUGAAGGUGUGUCGUGAGGCAUGCUGGAGGUAUCAGAAGUGCGAAUGCUGACAUAAGUAACGAUAAAGCGGGUGAAAAGCCCGCUCGCCGGAAGACCAAGGGUUCCUGUCCAACGUUAAUCGGGGCAGGGUGAGUCGACCCCUAAGGCGAGGCCGAAAGGCGUAGUCGAUGGGAAACGGGUUAAUAUUCCCGUACUUGGUGUUACUGCGAAGGGGGGACGGAGAAGGCUAUGUUGGCCGGGCGACGGUUGUCCCGGUUUAAGCGUGUAGG